AUUGAACGCUGGCGGCAGGCCUAACACAUGCAAGUCGAACGAGUGGCGGACGGGUGAGUAAUGUCUGGGAAACUGCCCGAUGGAGGGGGAUAACUACUGGCAACGGUAGCUAAUACCGCAUACCAUCGGAUGUGCCCAGAUGGGAUUAGCUAGUAGGUGGGGUAAUGGCUCACCUAGGCGACGAUCCCUAGCUGGUCUGAGAGGAUGCCCAGCCACACUGGAACAGAGACACGGUCAAGACUCCGACGGGAGGGAGCAGUGGGGAAGAUUGCACAAGGGGCGCAAGCUUGAUGCAGCCAUGCCGGGUGUAGGAAGAAGGCCUUCGGGUUGUAAAGUACUUUCAGCGAGGAGGCGUUACUCGCAGAAGAAGCACCGGCUAACUCCGGACCAGCAGCCGCGGUAAUUC
rnacentral:rRNA from 1 species